GCUCACGGUGGUUCGGCUUUUGAUGUUUUCGUCAUCGUGUUCAGUACAGGGAUCACUCGAGAGCCGGUCAGUGCUCUAUGAAUGAAGUCGGCCAUCUAACGGCAGCGGAACAAGCUACCAUAGGCAGACAAUAUGUCUCUAUUUCACUCAACAAGAGUUAUUCGUAUAAUUGCCGUAUCCUGUCUUGUCGCCAUGAUUCUAUUGUCUCGAGCUGUAUCGGAUCAGGCCCAGCCUUCGAGAACGUUUCAAAUGUUAGACGUGCCUGCUAUUGAUUACUAGUCACAGAUCCAUGCAAUUCGACAUUAAAAAUGUCCUCUCAAUUCAGCAAUAAAUAAAUGUCCCACUUUAAGAUUGA